GACGAACGCUGGCGGCGUGCUUAACACAUGCAAGUCGAACGGAAAGGCCCUGCUUUUGUGGGGUGCUCGAGUGGCGAACGGGUGAGUAACACGUGAGUAACCUUCCCUUGACUUUGGGAUAACUUCAGGAAACUGGGGCUAAUACCGGAUAGGAGCUCCUGCUGCAUGGUGGGGGUUGGAAAGUUUCGGCGGUUGGUGAUGGACUCGCGGCUUAUCAGCUUGUUGGUGGGGUAGUGGCUUACCAAGGCUUUGACGGGUAGCCGGCCUGAGAGGGUGACCGGCCACAUUGGGACUGAGAUACGGCGCAGACUCCAACGGGAGGCAGCAGUAGGGAGUAUUGCACAAUGGGCGGAAGCCUGAUGCAGCGACGACGCGUGCGGGAUGACGGCCUUCGGGUUGUAAACCGCUUUCGCCUGUGACGAAGCGUGAGUGACGGUAAUGGGUAAAGAAGCACCGGCUAACUACGUG
rnacentral:rRNA from 1 species